AAAAAAAAACAUGAACUUUUUGAUUGGCUUAGGGGGCCUUAAAAUAGACCUCAUUGACCCCUCCCUCUUAAAUUCUCUCUCAUUGUGCUGCAGUGGAAGAACAGAGUUCACCUGCUGUCUGUGUGUCUUCAAGAACUCCAAAGACAUGUUGCUUUACCUCUUUUUGCUUCUAUCUCACAUUCUAGGACUCACAGCUGGAGACACAAUCUCUCCUGAUCAGGAUCAACUUACAGGAACUGAAGGAAAAUCUGUUACAAUGAAAUGUAACUAUCAGACUGAUGACAGCACUCCUUGGCUUUACUGGUACAAACAUGAUUCUGACCUUCAGGCUCCUCAGUUUAUUCUCUGGAAAGGAGCAAAAGAGAACACAAAUGAACUUAUUCCAGAUAAACGAUAUAAAUCCAUAACAACAUCCACAUCAACUGAACUGAUCAUCACAGAGUUAACUCUGGCAGACACAGCUCUCUACUACUGUGCUGUAGACACACAGUGAUCCAAAGUGUAGAAGAGGCUGUACAAAAACCUGAAGACAGAUAUGGACUACUCUUCAAAGAGGAGGGAAGUGGUUUUCAAAGCACAGCUUCAUAUCAGAUGGAUUCUGUUCAUUCCUGUUUGAUCAGAGUCUCUGUGGUUACAGCUGCUAAUGAAACACUGAGGGAGGAUUCACAUCAACACAUGAUCCACAUCAACCUAUAAACAAAUACAUGAAAACUAAAAACUACGAAAGGAAAAAAAAAAA